ensembl:lncRNA
UCCAGGUUUUGUUCAAGUCCUGGUUUAGUUAUUCCCCUCACAAGUAGAUUCCAAGUGUUUGAACCUCAGGUGUCUCUCAGAGGGGGAGAAACCCGACGCCAUCAGACUGAAUGGACCAUCUAAGAGUGGCACAGGCUCAGCUGUCUUGCUUAUUUCCGUAUUGAAUUCUCCUUUUCUACGUUCUACCAGUGAUAGCACUCCUGUAAAGUUUCUUUGCUUCCUUGUUGACUCCUCCCUGCCGCAGCGUUAUCCACUGACUUACUAUUUUAACUCCAUAUCGGCCUGUCCCAUUUCUGUGGGGUACCCAGAGCAUUGCAGUUGCGAUGCUGCUAGGGAAACCCUAAAGCUUAAGCUUUGAGAAGUAUUUCCACGUGACCGUUGGAGGUUUUUGAUUCAAAUGCGUCAUUCUUACCUUGUAGUCAUUCAGGCUUGAAAGGGCAAAGCUAUGGAGAGAGAAAGCUGCCUGCACAUUAGUGAAUACCUCAGCCCAAUGCAAUGAAUGCACUGCUGAAAAGCAUGGGAUAUCCUGCCAGAAAUCUGUCCCUGUGUGCAAACACUCCCGCUUCCUUACCAUUGCACCUGCGCCGGCUGAAGCGUGCAGUGGGAGCACGCCGCUUGACUGGUUCUGGUCCCGGGAAUCUCUGUCUCACAACGUCCCAUUGCCUGUCAUGAACACGUGCCAUGAAUUGAGCAAGAUUAGGGUUUUCUGUGAAGUAAAGAAAGCAACAGGUAGAAGCAGCCAAUUCAUAUGGAAAUCUGAAUCUAUAGGGAAUGUGGCUGUGAUGCAUCUUCUGCAUCAAGUCAAAUAUCCAGGAAGAUUUACCAUUUCUCCUAGCUGACCGCAGGGCUUGUGCAGUAUUUUUUCAAAGACCUGGCUAGUCAAGUUGGUGUUUGAGUCUUUGGAGUAAUUGGGUAGCCACUAGCAGACACAAUGAUGAGCACAGCACCAGACAGAGCAUCUCAUAAGUGUAUUAGCGUGCAGUUUAAUCCCUUAUGUAUGUGUGAACCCUUGGGAAGAGCUACUUGAUGAAGACAAGAUACCAUCAGUUCCUGUGCGAGGAGUACGUAUUUGCCUUUGCUAUACUCUGAAGGAAAUAAUUGAUUUGGAAGACCUGACGGAAAUACCUGAAACCUAUUUAGAUAUUAACCUAGUUUUGGGUGAGGACUGUGAGGCAUAUACUGAUCAGCAUGGCAAGGCGCAACCUGCAAAAUCCUGUCCCAACUUCUGCUGUGGAGAUUGCAUGCAUCGAUACUGUUGCUCUAACGUGCUAUUGAAAUUUGAUGAAGAACAACAGUUUAAAUGUAAUCUGCUUGAUGGAAGGACCUCUGGCUCAAGCCAUGUAAAUUAUCUGCAGUUCCGUGCAGACUUUGAUGAUUACAUAGACUCUGGCCCCAGGCUGAACAGUAAAUGUAAACUUGCAUCAUUUGUGAUUGUAACCUGCAUCGCAGAGCAUUUGUUUUCAUCCUCACCGUGUUCACAGUGAAGAAGCUAGUUAAAGCUGACAAAGCAGUUGCUGGUUCCUGUUGACGAUCUCUCUCCUGCCUGCUUCAGGCAGUGGGCUGAUGCUGAUGCGGGUUCCUUUGACUCUGAAACCAAGAUAGAAAGAGAGAUUGAAAAACGCUGUUCUAGCACAAGAGGCAGAUGGGCAUGGUCGGGUGUAGCAGCAUGCUCUUCUAACGACAGAAGGCUGUUCCACGGCGAAACACAAGACAACCUGGCGUAAACGUGCAGAGGCACAGCAAGAUUCAUCCCUGGGGCUACAUUCAGGCAUGUACUUAUCUACUGUAUGUACUUAUAAGAGUAGGAUGUUUCCUUUUCUAGCUCUGUGUGCUUUGCUGCACUGCCCUUCUUUGUACCUCUAUGAAAUGUAACUAUGAAAACACUAAGUUUUGACACCCAGGUUGACUCUGGAGGGAGUCAAAAGCAACUGUAGGCAGGGGAGCCCUCAGUGAAGGCACUGGAAGAGUCUUUCCUUGAGCAUGCUUAAAAGACCCCGGGGUUGUUAUUCACUGAGAUCUAUGAGAGUUGAGGACAUGGGUUCCAUAGCUAGAUCCAGCUCAACAGUUUUUCGUAUACUUAAAUAAAACAGUCUUGGCCCAGGAUGUAGCCA